rnacentral:rRNA from 1 species
AGCGAACGCUGGCGGCAGGCCUAACACAUGCGAGUCGAACGAGCCUUUCGGGGCCAGUGGCGGACGUGUGAGUAACACGCGGUAACGUGCCUUUAGGUCCGCAAUAACUCAGCGAAACUUGCUCUAAUACCGAGUGUGCCCUUCGGGGGCAAGAUUCAUCGCCGUUAGAGCGGCCCGCGGCGGAUUAGCUAGUUGGUUGCGGUAAUGGCUCACCAAGGCGACGAUCAGUAGCUGGUCUGAGAGGAUGCUCAGCCACAUUGGGACUGAGACACGGGCCGAACUGCUGCGGGAGGCCGCCGUGGGGAAUCUUGCGCAAUGAACGAAAGCCGGACGCCGCCACGCCGCGUGAAUGAAGAAGGACUUAGGAUUGUGGAAUUCUUUCGACGGUGACGAUAAUGACGGUACCCGGGGAAGAAGCCCCGGCUAAUUUCGUG